rnacentral:rRNA from 1 species
UUUGAAUCUGGCUUCGGCCCGAGUUGUAAUUUGUAGAGGAAGAUUUAGGCGCGGCACCUUCUGAGUCCCCUGGAACGGGGCGCCAUAGAGGGUGAGAGCCCCGUAUAGUUGGAUGCCUAGCCUGUGUAAAUCUCCUUCGACGAGUCGAGUAGUUUGGGAAUGCUGCUCAAAAUGGGAGGUAAAUUUCUUCUAAAGCUAAAUAUUGGCCAGAGACCGAUAGCGCACAAGUAGAGUGAUCGAAAGAUGAAAAGCACUUUGAAAAGAGGGUUAAAUAGCACGUGAAAUUGUUGAAAGGGAAGCGCUUGUGACCAGACUUGCGCCGGGCGGAUCAUCCGGUGUUCUCACCGGUGCACUCCGCCCGGCUCAGGCCAGCAUCGGUUCUCGUGGGGGGAUAAAGGCCCUGGGAACGUAGCUCCUCCGGGAGUGUUAUAGCCCAGGGUGUAAUGCCCUCGCGGGGACCGAGGUUCGCGCAUCUGCAAGGAUGCUGGCGUAAUGGUCAUCAGCGACCCGUCUUGAAACACGGACCAAGGAGUCAAGGUUUUGCGCGAGUGUUUGGGUGUAAAACCCGCACGCGUAAUGAAAGUGAACGUAGGUGAGAGCUUCGGCGCAUCAUCGACCGAUCCUGAUGUAUUCGGAUGGAUUUGAGUAGGAGCGUUAAGCCUUGGACCCGAAAGAUGGUGAACUAUGCUUGGAUAGGGUGAAGCCAGAGGAAACUCUGGUGGAGGCUCGCAGCGGUUCUGACGUGCAAAUCGAUCGUCAAAUCUGAGCAUGGGGGCGAAAGACUAAUCGAACCAUCUAGUAGCUGGUUACCGCCGAAG